AUUGAACGCUGGCGGCAUGCUUUACACAUGCAAGUCGAACGGCAGCACGGACUUCGGUCUGGUGGCGAGUGGCGAACGGGUGAGUAAUACAUCGGAACGUACCCAGUAAUGGGGGAUAACUAGCCGAAAGAUUAGCUAAUACCGCAUACGCCCUACGGGGGAAAGAGGGGGAUCGCAAGACCUCUUGUUAUUGGAGCGGCCGAUGGCUGAUUAGCUAGGUGGUGGGGUGAAGGCCUACCAAGGCGACGAUCAGUAGCGGGUCUUAGAGGACGAUCCGCCACACUGGAACUGAGACACGGUCCAGACACCUACGGGAGGCAGCAGUGGGGAAUCUUGGACAAUGGGCGAAAGCCUGAUCCAGCAAUGCCGCGUGCGUGAAGAAGGCCUUCGGGUUGUAAAGCGCUUUUGUCUGGGAGCAAAUCCUUGUGGCUAAUACCCACCGGGGAUGAGAGUACCAGAAGAAUAAGGACCGGCUAACUACGUGCCAGCCGCCGCAGUAA
rnacentral:rRNA from 1 species